AAAAAUCAAAACUAAUUACAUACCCGGUCACAUCAUCAAUACGAUAGAUGGAGUUGCAGUAAAAGAGCGGGUAUCAUUGUUUCCAGCCAGAGCUGCUUUCUCUAUUCAGCACUUAGUACACCAUAAACUCAAGACAGGUCCACUGCAUUUUACUGGAAUUCCUGAUUUUACAGAAGAGGGAACCUUGGUUUUUUUCUCCAGUUUUCCUGUAAGCUAUCCGACCGGAGGCACGACGAUCCCGAGACGUGCGGCGUAAGUUAUCCGGCCCUCGGCACGGCCAUAAGCAGAGCUGAAUGUCAGAAGAGUCUCAUCUUGUGAAGCAUGGG